rnacentral:rRNA from 1 species
CCCUUAGAUGUUCUGGGCUGCACGCGCGCUACACUGAUGCGUUCAACGAGUUUAUGACCUUGCCCGAUAGGGUUGGGUAAUCUUUUUAAAUCGCAUCGUGAUGGGGAUAGAUUAUUGCAAUUAUUAAUCUUCAACGAGGAAUUCCUAGUAAGCGCGAGUCAUCAGCUCGUGCUGAUUACGUCCCUGCCCUUUGUACACACCGCCCGUCGCUCCUACCGAUUGAAUGGUCCGGUGAAAUCUCCGGACUGGCGUGAGUCGGAGCAAUCUGACAAACGCCGGAAAGUUGAUUAAACCUUACCAUUUAGAGGAAGGUGAAGUCGUAACA